rnacentral:rRNA from 1 species
UACGGGGGGGGCAAGCGUUGUUCGGAAUUACUGGGCGUAAAGGGCUCGUAGGCGGCCAACUAAGUCAGACGUGAAAUCCCCAGGCUCAACCUGGGAACUGCGUCUGAUACUGGAUGGCUUGAAUUCGGGAGAGGGAUGCAGAAUUCCAGGUGUAGCGGUGAAAUGCGUAGAUAUUGGGAGGAACACCAGUGGCGAAGGCGGCUACCUGGACCGGUUCUGACGCUGAUGCGCGAAAGCGUGGGUAGCAAACAGG